rnacentral:rRNA from 1 species
UACGUAGGGUGCGAGCGUUAAUCGGAAUUACUGGGCGUAAAGCGUGCGCAGGCGGUUUUGUAAGCCAGAUGUGAAAUCCCCCGGGCUUAACCUGGGAAUUGCAUUUGUGACUGUACGGCUAGAGUGUGUCAGAGGGGGGUAGAAUUCCACGUGUAGCAGUGAAAUGCGUAGAGAUGUGGAGGAAUACCGAUGGCGAAGGCAGCCCCCUGGGAUAACACUGACGCUCAUGCACGAAAGCGUGGGGAGCAAACAGG